rnacentral:rRNA from 1 species
UAAUGGAAAAUCUGACCUGCUCUAUGUAAAUGGCCGCGGUAUUUUGACCGUGCUAAGGUAGCAAAAUCAUUAGUUUUUUUAUUGAAGACUGGAAUGAAGGGUUGGACAAGAGAGAGACUGUCUUAGUUAGCUGAAAUUGGUGUUUGAUUUGAAAAAAAAUGAUGGAAGAGAAGACCCUAUUAAGUUUUAUUAUUUUACUGGGGCGGUAGUGAUGAUAAUAGGAUUAAAUUACUGUAGGGAUAACAGCGUGAAAUAUUUUUAGAGUUCAUAUUAAAAAAUAGUUUUGCGACCUCGAUGUUGAAUUAAGAGUUUCUGGUGAAGGACUUUUAAUAUCUUACA